rnacentral:rRNA from 1 species
UAAAACUUUUAACAACGGAUCUCUUGGUUCUGGCAUCGAUGAAGAACGCAGCGAAAUGCGAUAAGUAAUGUGAAUUGCAGAAUUCAGUGAAUCAUCGAAUCUUUGAACGCACAUUGCGCCCGCCAGCAUUCUGGCGGGCAUGCCUGUUCGAGCGUCAU